GGAAAAAAUGCUUUUACUCAAAAUGUUGAAUACAUGUAUGUGUUGUUUGCAUCCAUUGUUCUAAAGACAUGCAUACUUCCUUAUGCCAGAUUUUUAAAAUUAUUUUUAAAGAUUCAGCUGACUUAUUUCCAGAUGCGUUCAUCAAACUCAAAUAAAUGAAGAAAAUAGAG
rnacentral:sRNA from 1 species